GGUACUUUGCAGAUGGAAUUAAGAUUAUCAGAUGGCUUUAAAAUAGGGAAAUUAUUCUGGAUAAUUACUGGGCCCAAUGUAAAACAUGAGUCCUUAAAAGGAAAAGAGGAAAGUGGGAGAGUCCGUCAGAUGCAUGUGAAUAAAAAGAUGAGGCCACAGAAAUGAGGCAGAAGGGGAGGGCAGAGAGAGAUGUGAGAAAAACCUGACCUAUUAUUUCUGCCUUUGAAAAGGAUAAUGAGGCAGGGUAUAUAUGUGGAUUUUAAGAGCUGAGAAUGGCUGCAGGAACAGUCAGCAAGGAAACAGAUCCCAGUCCUACAAUCACAUGAAACUGAAUUCUGCCAACAGCUUAAAUCAUCCUGGAAACAGAUUUUCCCUUACAGCUGCAGAAAGGAAGGAAGGAAGAAACUGAGGGAAAGAAGAGAGGAAACAAGCUUGCUGAUCCCUUGCUUUCAGCCUUGUAGAAUGAUAGCAGAGAUCCAUGCUAUGCUCAUAUUCCUGACCGAUGAAAACUGGCUCACCAUUUGUAAACUGCACUUGAUGAUGUCUUUCACCCAGGGCUUUAUCUAGAUGAUAUUUCCCAGCUUGUCAUGCAGCCAAAAAAGGCCAUGUGACUGAAGUCCAACCAAUGUGAAUGGAAGUAAAGCCUGUGCCAUAAAACCUCUCACAAGCUACUUCAAGUUCUUUCCCUCACACUGACUGGAAUGCUGAUGCCCAGAUCAUUUUGUAAAACAUAUGCUGAAGAGGCAAAAUCCUUUUCUGCCUUGAUCGCUGGAGAACAAUGUAGAUAACAUGACCAACUCCUUCUCAUACUCCUAGACAUAGAACUAUCCUGGAUUUUUUUUCAAUUUUUAUUUAUUUAUGAUAGUCACAGAGAGAGAGAGAGAGAGAGAGAGAGAGAGGCAGAGAC